UCCAUAUGCAGCAACCUCCACGUGGUGAGACCUGGGUCGGUAUUACUUGCGAUCUAUUCAAAUCUGAUUGUAAAUCAUGUAACGCAAGUACUGCCGGGCGGAUGGCUGCAUCUUUUAGUGUGUUUCCAUAUUAUGUUAUUUCUAAUUGUACUUAACAUUACACUAUUCAUUUUACAUACAUCUAAUUAUACAAUACUUCAGUAGAUAGAUAAAUAAAUCAGAUAAAGUUAUAUGAAAUUAUUGCUUAUAAAGACACACUGUAAAUUUUCAAAUUCAAGUGAUUUUAUGUGGCACAAUUUUUUUCAUAAUACUUUCUUUAAUACGUUUAAAUUUUCAGGAUGCGUUUCUAUUUUCAAUAUUUAAAAACUAUGUUUUAGAAAGAUCUACUUAUUUUUUCGUAUUAAAUGUUUAGAACAAAUUGAAAAUAAUAACUUUUGAAAAAAUAUUUUUUAAAGAUUACAUAAAUUCAAGCAUUAAUCGAUUACAGUUAGGAUUAUUAUUAAAAUAUUUAAGAUUAAUAUAUAAAGUUAAUUAGAGUGUAAAGGUGGAGCAAUAUUAAAUUCAUAUAAAAUGAAAAGAAAUCGGUAUAAAAAUCAAUCGAAUGUGACGUGGCCGUGAAAAAAAAGUCGCUGAAAGAAUAGACAUGAAAAUUUUUUAUCAAAACGUGUAUAAAGAUUUAUUGAGGCGCUAUUCAAGCAUUCGAUCGUCACGAAUAAAACUAUAGAUCGGACGAUAUGCUGUAUGAAUAGUCAUAGCUUUUAGGAGAAUUAGUUUCAAUUCGUUAAAAGUGUGUAAUUUCUGACGAGGAUUUUCAGUAAGCUAUGUCGGUCGUUCCAUCACUUCUGAUAAACUAUGGAUCAUUUUCUCUUAUUAUUAAAUAAUAUUAUUAAAACAGUAAUAAUAAUGUAGUCAUACUAAUUCCAUCGAUUUUUUUAAUCUUCUUAUCGUAAAAACAUGGACGCAUAUUAUUCACAAUAAAAAACAUUUACACAUCUCUUGUACGACACAGUUUAAAUAGUAAAAUUUCAUUAGCGACUAUUUUUGAAGAAGCUUUUCUUUUCAUGCAUAAACUAUUCUACAAAGAAAAAGAAGGGAAAAGGAACAGUUUUUGACAUUAUUUUUUUCAUAGAAAAUAAAGCUUUUUCAAAAAUUCGAAAAAGUCAUCUCCUCGUUUAAAAAGUCAAAAAUUACGUCUAAAGCCAUUCUUGCUGUAAAGAAUUAUAAAACUAAAGUCUUAAAAUGCAUACAGAAGUACAUUAUAUAUUUACCACGUGAAAUUAAACGCUUCUGGACAUAUAUAAGAGCUAUUUUCUCUUCUCUCUCUCUCUCUCUCUCUCCCCUUUUUCUAUUCUCUGUUUACACGUCUGUUAAAAAAUCAUACGGGUUUUCACUGACGAACGUAACGCGAGAAACAUAUCCUCUUUUUUUUAGAAAAAGUAAAGAAAGACGAGAAAGAAUCCUUUAUCGUUGGUAUCCAUCGUCGUUUUACGGAAUCGCUUGUAGUCCAGCUGGAAAAACGAUCCUUUUAACUUGGAGGUUUCCUCUGUCCCUACUUGCUGCUAGCUCCGGUUAUCUUACUCUAAUAAAACUAAUUGCGAUUCGCUCCGUUUCGUUCCUAUAUUUCUUCCUCUCUCUUCCUCUCUUCAUCCCUCUCACUCUCUCUUUUAUCCUCGGUCUUACUGACUCACCCUCGCCCCUUUUAGAGCGUCUUCUCCAUUUCAAACCAGCAUCGUCUAGGACCGUCACCCCUGUCUCGUAAUCGACUAUUAAGGAAGGACCCUUUCCAAUUUGCAAGGUCGACGCCUAGAAGUGCGACAUUCUCAAGAGGAAACUUGAGAAGACUGAGACAGAGAGUCGGAGAGAGAGAGAAAAAGAGAGAGAAGAAACCAACAAGACAGAAGGGACGGACUUCGAGACGAUAAAGAAUAAAAGGACGAUAAAUUUCAAAAGAUAUUAUUCAUACUCUUAUUCUCGUAAAGAAUAGAAAUUAUGAACGUAACCAGGGGCAGAAAUAUAAAAUUCUUCGAACUUUCUUUCAAACAUUUGAAAGAAAUAUCUACUUACAUUUAUUUGAAAUAGAAACGAAGCAAACGGUUUAGAUCUUGACGUUUAUACGAUUAUGUAAGAAUGAAUUAUGAUCGGGCGUGGCUUUCCAUCGUUGCUUGAUAAAGAGGAAAUCCAAUGUUUGUUGAAAGUGAAAGCUAUAGUACGCUCUUGUUUGAUGCAAUGAAAUGCGUUUAUGAUGUUAAGAAGAUCGUCGACCGUUAGUCAUAGCUCAUUGCCCCCUGUAAAUCGAUUCUAAUUCAUUAGAAGGGUCUUUUCCUUUUGGUACGUCGUUCGUUCAUACUGCUGGACAGUCACCAGUGUCGAUCGAUAAGCUCGUUACGGUUUUGCAACAUGAUUCUCGACGUUACUCUCUGCUCUCCUUUCCUUCGCCGGAAGUCCCAACAGAGUGCAAAAAAAGAAAAAAGAAAAUCGUUAAUUUCAGACAGACCAGCUAACGAAACUAAUUAAUUACCUUGGGCUCGCACGAGCUCGUUCGUUUCCUUCCUCUCAUCCUUUUUCUUUUCUAUUCUCUUCUUUUUCUUCUUCUUCUUCUUCUUCUUCCGCCUCUUUUUCCUUUCUUCCCUUUUUUCUUUUUAUUUCUUAAAGCGCAGUCAUUCUCCUUCUUCUCCUGAAUUUCAAUGCCUUUGAAAGAAAAAGAUAGAAAAAGAAAGAGAGAGAGAGAGAGCUCAUCGAUCAUCUCGAAAAAAACUCUCCGUCUCGUCCGCCCUCCCCCUUCCCGGAUGGUACAACGAGUUCUUUUCUUCUGUUCGCGAUUAACGAGCUCGUCCUCGAGUGCCGGAGAGACGAUCGAGGAAAAGUCGGCUUUUUGAGUCUCACGAGUUUUUCGACAUUACGAAUUUCUACGUAAGUAUGUAUGUAUCUACGUACGGUAGUCGAUAUCUGGAAUUUGUGCGGUCUAACCUUAAACGGAACAUCAAACGAUUCUGGCUAUUUCGUGGUGGCUUUGCUAACGAGUGCCCUAAUUUCUCGAAUGACGUCAUGCAUGCAAUGAAACCUUUGAGAAUUCAACGAUACGAUUACUAUUUUCCUAUUAAUAUCUCACUGGUUGUAAGUAUCUUUGAUAGAAAGAUUUCUAAUAUUAGCGUUCGGUUAAAAUAUCGCAAUACGAUUCUGAUAUGUGUGUGUGUGUGUAUAUUUACAUCUUUAGAUAUUAAUAUUUAUUUAUUUCUUCUUUCUAUCUCAUAAAUCGACAUUGCAAAGAUAGUUUCUCUUAAUUCGUAAAAUACAUAACAACGAAAAUUUUGAUAUUGUCAGAAUAUAGUUUGAGAGAGAGUUCUCUUCUUCGUCGUCUUUGUCAAAUCAAUUUCCCGUAAAGCAGGUAGGAAGAGGCGAAUAACAAAAACGUGCUACAACCGAGCACAUCGUUGUCGCUAACUGUACCACCCACGGUUUUAUCCACAAAGCCGUCGCAAUUAAGCGGAUGGCACGUACACCAGACUGGAUCUACGAGAUUUAUCCCUCGAUAAUACGAGCUGCCCGACAAACUUUUUCCUUUACCGAAAGGAAAUUCAUUUGAAGUCAUUCGUGAGCGAAAAGGUACGAAAGUUCCUCCUAUCAUUGAAACAAGCCGAACUUAGUUUCGAAAAACGCUCUUUGAUAUAAGAUCCUAGAUAACUCGACUUGGUUCGUUCUUUUUACAUUAAUUUCAUUGCUUCAAAACGUUUAUAUUCCCUAAACGCGUCGAACUUGUAAUAUAACCUAGUAACGUAAGAUAGAUAUCAGUGUCCCUUGAUAUUUCACGGUAUAAAACAUUUAAUAAACCGUUAAUAUCACCACCGGUAUUCCCAUUGUUUCAACUAAUUGAGAUAUAUUAUGUUCUAACGGCGAAAUUUGUCGCCUUUAUGUCAUUCGCAAGUUACGUUAGAAGAUAUAUCUAUACGAUUUAAACGGAAUAUCCAUAAUCUCUAGAAUUUUAUCGGCGACCUCGAAAAUCGAAAGGCGAAAGGACAGUCGUAUGAAUCUUUAAUUAAAUGGAAAAUUCCAAAAGAUACGCAUAAUGUACUUUAAUGUGCAAAAGUUUGAUUAACCGUACGAGUUGUAUGUAAUGAAGAGAGAUUAAAUUCUUGAUCAUUGAUGCCGAGCAAAGAAGAAGAAAUAUAUGAGAGGAAAGAACGAGAAAGAUAGAUUAUCGUGACAUUACUAACUUACAUGAUUUAUCGAGCGACCUAUGAAUCAUCAGUACAACUCGUCCAGAUACUUACAUUCGUCGACAUCGUUAUCUUCCAGGUAUCCAACGCAACGCGUUGGAUCUGUUUCUUUCCUUUUUUUUCUUUUCUUUUUGUUUCUUCCCCUUUUAUUUUCUACCAGCUAUCAUAAACGCGAUCGACGGGCAUCCAACUGUGAGAACGGUCGGUCUCGUUACCCUUUCUUCCUUGGCUUCGAACGAUUAUACGCCGGUUUCCUUGCGACAUCGUUGCGACAUAUCCUGUUUUUCGCGUUGGCCAAUACCUACGCCUCUCGGUGUUCGAUCUUCGUUGAAAGUAAAAGGGCAAAGGUCAAAAGUUCUGGCAUCUUUUCUAUUUCACUUCUAUCUUCGCACUUUACGACAUUAUUUAUAAAGUUCAUCCUGUAUUCGGCCCUUCGAACUCUUCUCACUUUUUUCUUUUUCCUUGCUUCUGUUUUCCUUUUUCAUUUCUCGUUUCCUCAACCUUUCCGUUUCUCCAUUCUUUUCACACGUUCGAUCACGAUUUUUCCUUCCUCUUUCCUCCCCAUAAGUCCGUUUCCUUGGACAUAUCAGAGUGAGUGCAUUUCCUCGUAACUAUUUCCAUUUAAUAGCUUAAGCAAGUUGCGAUAUUCCUCCAUCCACGACCGUCGCACCUUCUGUUCCGUCUGUUCAGAAUCGUUGAGAAAUCUCAAGGAGACCUAGUCGCCAGUGGAAAAACGAUGCUGUUCCGAAUGACGAAAUUCGAAGGACUCUUCUCGUCUGACUUAUGUUCGACUUGAAGAACGAUGCUCCCCUACGAGCGCUCGAUGUGAUUUUAACGAGCGUUGCUCUUCUCGUGCGGAAGGAAAUUUAGAUUAUGAUCGUUGGUUCUACGACCAACGUCUUUUUUUCGUUUUCUUUUUCUUUUCUUUCUUUCUUUUUUGUUUUAUUUCAUACACAUACACAAAAAAUACGUUUGCAUUAUGGUACACGCGUAGCUACGAUCUCAUCGAAACAACCAAACGAAGUGAAAAAGAUGAAACGUCUCGUGCAAGGAACUUUCUUGAAAAAUUUUCUCACGUCCUGAUCGUACGACCACAAAAAUAUCCAACUCUGUUCCGUAUCGCGAAACUACGAAAAGUGAAAAAUAUGUUUGCAAAAAUAACGCCGAUGAAAAAUUCAAGGAUUCGAACUCGCGAAACUUUCGAAAUGAAUUACGUUUACUUGUAUUAGCCUCUUACGUGGCGAAACUGUGAAUAAUUUAAAACUCAAAAAUGUUCAAAGUCCAAGCAGCUUGACUUUAUUUUAAAAAGCUUCUACGUGUGCAGAGAAAGGAAAAGGAAAAAAGAAAGAAAGAGAAAAAAAAAGAAACGCAGUUAUUAUCGUUCGUAAUCGCUUUUCUCGAAACGAGAGAAAAAUUAAAGAUGAUAAGUACUUUAUUAUUGAACAAUUUUAUCGCAUAUUUCAUCUUCAAAAAAGAAAAUCAAAGAAAAACGCUUUCUAACGUUCAUUUGAACGUGAUCGAUAGAAACAAAAAUGACGUUUACAAAUGAAGAUGUUCACGCUUAUGGGUUUACUUCGAUUUACUUGGACGAAAUCAAACGCGUAUCUGUCACGCUCAGUGUGUUUGUUCUUCAUUACGCUCGACCAUCGUGCGUACGUAAGUCGAUGAAAUACGGAUCCGUUGAAAGCCGGCGCUAAUGCCGGCAGCAUGAAAGCAGCUAUUUACUAUUUCUCCCUCUCAUCCUCGUUAGUUUACCCGUUCGCUUGAUACAAUUUCUUCUUCGUUAUCAUUCGAAACAAAUUGUUUUUGGCCCGGCAUUUAAACUGAAUGACUAGACGUUGAUCCAUUUACAUAAUUAAACGAACAAAGCAAGAGCUAUAAAGAUAAUUUUGAAAACGCGUUGUUGCCUCUGGACAGACGAUGUUAACGUUAAUUUAUAGUCGACCUUUGGUCAUCCCUUGUGUCAUACUAAGGAAAAUUAGAUUGCAUGUACGUAAAGAUAAUAGUCUACUAUUCCGUAAGCACGUCGAAUGAAUACAUAAUUUGAUACUCGAAAUAAUUGUUAAAAAGGUAUGGCGAAAGGUCACGCAGUUUACACGGAACGUACAUCAUUGACGUUAAAAUUCGACGAUCUUGACAUUGUUUCUAUCUAUAUAAUUCUUAGAAUUUUUUUCAAUCGAUCUUUUCGCUAUUACGAUAGCAAAAGAUCGAAGAGUCUCGGAUCUCGUCGUGAAACAUACGCAGUGUCAUCGGCCUCUCGUAGCCUUGACACGCUGCACUCGAGGUUACCGACGAAGAGUGGAUGUUCAUUCGUCUCGUCGAGCAUGCGAGAGUGACUAGUGAAUGAGAGAGAGAGAGAGAGAGAGAGAGAGAGAGAUAGAUAGAUAGAUAGAUAGAUAGAUAGAUAGAUAGAUAGAUAGAUAGGUGGGUAGAUAGAGGGAGAAGGCUAAAGUACAGAGACUGAAGAGAGUCAAAGUGGAAAGAAAGAGGGACACAAGAAGUACUCAUGGACGGACCGUGUAGCUGGCCGACGAGAUAGCUAUAUACUUCUUUCUUCCUUUCUCUCUUUUUCUCUCUCUCUUUUUCUUUCUCUUUCUCUUUCGUUCACGUCUAUGUACAAUUUCAAUAAAACGCGUACACGUUUGUUCGUGUAUGUACUUUCUGGAAUUCACUUGCUACUAGCAAGUUGCAUCUUCACCGUUUGCUCGACUACACAACACUACAAUCGACUCUUGUAAACGAUCUUGCGUAACGGUUCAAACGAUACGACUUAAAGGCAAGGUUUCGAUUGAGGGAGUGAGUGAGAAAGAGAGUAAAAAGAGAGAUAGAGAAUAAGAGAGAGAGAGAAAGAGAUAGAGAGAGAGAGAGAGAGAGAGAGAGAGAGAGAGAGAGAGAAAGCAAGAAACUCCUCCGUAAAUUGAACAUAAAUUCCGUGAACUCUCUACCCUGAACUCGAACUCCUCUAUCAACUGCUUGUACGGCAUACAACUCUAACGAGUCUCACGUUAAAUUUCCACCUUAUUAUCGAUUUUAAGCGUCUUCCUAAUUAUGUAUUCCGCUAAUUAGACGAAAUAGCUUGACGUAACUUCGAAAUUGGAUUCUAGAUAUAAUGAUCGUACAAUGUAGGAGAUAGUAGGUAGGUAAUUAAUAUGAAGUAGAAUUUUUACUGAAACAUUUUGCAAGAGAAAGAGAGAAAGAGAGAAGAUUCUUGUUCGUGGAUGAACAGAAUGUAUUGCGGACUCUUUCGGAAGUGACGAAAAUGGUAGAAAUAUCUGGUCGUUCACGCGACGCAGAUAAUCCUUUUGCGUAUACGUAGGUUCGUGUUCACCAGUUUCACGAAUUGCAUCCUCGCGAUUGCAAUCGCGCUCUUUUCUCUAGACGAUCUUGCGCAAUCGCAGAGGGCACGCGACUUGAACGUUACGAAUGUAGUAGGUAAGAGUUACAAGAGUUACGAGUACUUUCUCUCGAUACUGACCGACCAUUUGUAACAGCAAGAGAAAGAAAAAGAGAGAGAGAGAAAGAAGGAAAAGAAAAAAAAAGAGAAAGAAAAAAUAUAAAAAGAAAGAGAAAAUAAAGAGAAAGAGAAAAUAAACCACUUCGACCGUCUGUCUUCGAAGAUAACGAAAAAUCAACGAACCGUAAUCACGUGCUCGAACGAUUUCGAGUAAAUCUCUCUUUCUCAGUUCGGAUUUCGGUUUCGAUCGUUCGUUUCCCGAACUCUUUCGCUAUUCUUUUUGUUUUUUCUUUUUCUUCUUUUUCUUCUUCUUCUUUCGCAUAAGUGAUGAUUACAUCAGCCGUGUGAAUUGCCUUCUCGCUUUCACGAUUUCUGACGAGAUCUUCUUCUUUCCACACUCUUUUCUCUCUUUAAUCUCUUUUUUUCAUUUUUAGCCGAUCAUCACGAUUGAGAGCAAUAAUCAUUAAAUUCGGUUGCGUAAAAUGCACGAGAGAGUAGAAACGCGAUCGGAGAUGAGCGAGUCGUAUUAAUAGCCAAAAUUUUUGGAAAGUUAUCGCUUCGACGAUACUAUAUCAUUUUUUAAUGCCUCUCGAAUAACUUUCUUCGUGAAAAAUUAUUGAUUUAACGCGUUGAUUUGCAUCGAACGAUCGACACGAUGUUUACGGUAUUAUAUAUAGAUACUUACGUUUUCACAAGCAAUUAAUUCACUAAAGUAAUUGCAAAGAAUCGUCUCAUUUUAUCUAAUAUCAUUAUUAAUUACUAUUCUUACACCGUUUAAUGCUUCUACUUCAGAACUCGAUCGAUUCUCUAGUUGAACACAGUGCUCCACCUUUUGCGCUUCACGCACGACGCGUCGCUAAUCGUCAUUGUAGGUAAUUGAAUUCUCAUCGCGGUCGAAUUAACGAUUUAAUUACAAUGCCUACCGCCUGAUCCAUCGAGAGUCAGGGUCGUUUAUGGAAGGGCACUAGGCACGACAGAUGUGCCACUUGACGAGAGAGAGAGAGAGAGCGCACAUGAAAAAGAGAAAGAGACCAAGUUAGAGAAAGACGAUGAAUAAUCGUAAAAGUAGAGUUCACGACACAAGAGCGAACGGAUGUUUUGAAAAACGAGGUUAAGGGUGAGAGCAACCCUUGAAACGCGUAGGAGAACGUCGGCUCGAAUAAAAGCAAGAAGGAGAGGACUUGAAUACGAGCGAGGUAGGACUCGUAAAAAUCUUUUUCUCUCUUUCUCUUUUUUAUUCUUUUCUCUUAAUUUUAUUCUUCCGUUCAAUGAUCUUGAUAGAUUGAGGAAAAGAAGAAGAAGAAGAGGGUCCGACCGGGCAAUUAGCGGUUUAGCAUACAAUAGAGUUGCGUGCAAUUGACUCGCGUUCGAAUCAACAGCCGUUUGCUUCGCGGCCGUCGGUAAUUAGUAGUUAAAGCGGAUAGAACUCUAUAUUGAGCGCGCUGCCACUGCGUCGGUUGAGCAUUCCGAUUUUCUCGUCUCUUCCUCUCUUCCUCUCUUUCUCUCUCAACCGCAUUUCUCUAAUGUACAGGAUUCAUGGUAAAAGCGGAUCAUAAGCAUAAUGCUAGUCAGCCGUUUCAUAAUGAAAUGGAUUUAAUCGAAUUAUGUUAAAAUUACCAUGGAGCAUUGCCAUUGAUACGGAUGUUUCUGAAUGAUCAUCUUCUUGUAUCAUUUCAUGUCUCUUUCUCAUUGACUUAGAAUGUUUAAUGAGACAGACCAGGAAGUAGAUAAGCAUACAUUCUUAAAAAAAAAAAAAAAAAAAAAAAAUGUUAAAUAGCUUGUUCUUGCAUAGCGUCGUUAAUUCGAUGACGUAGUGUUUUUACAUAAAAGAUUUUUUUCGUAUUCUUUCCUCUUUUUCUUUUUUCGUCGAUGCAUGAAUACGAGCUACCCACGAUUGUGAAAAAUAAAUAAGAAAAAAAAGAGCUUAAGAAAAUAUAUUAAUUCGAUGUAUAAUACACGAUUAAGAGAUAAUAAAGUUUGAGGUUCAAUCUUUUAAACUCAUUGAUCCAAGGACGUAACCUUUCGAAACUUCUUUAAUUUAAAUUACGAUCUCUUCAAUGGGACAAAUAUAAAAGUAAACAAAAGUGGUAUGAUACGUGGAAAAAAAAAACGAUUUUUUUUUAGUUCCUUGACAACGAACGAAAAAAAAAGAAAACAAAAAGGAAAGAAAAAAGAGAAACAAACGGAAGAUUAAUGAGAUAAUCUUUGAGGUUAGUCACGCGAGUAUUAAUUUGGAAGGUUUCAAUUUAGAAACCGAAUCUUCCUGAAGGUUUGCCGCUUCUCUACGUGAAAGGAAAACGAUGAGUCAGGAGGAUGCGAAUACAAUGAAAGUAAAAGUUUCCUGGCUCGCUAGGAAGCAUCGAGGUAGUUCGAAAAAUAUAGCUUGGUUGCUCGCUCGAGGUGAAACACCUUAUUUACGAAUAGAUCUAGAAUUCUCGAGACGUGGUGUAACGAAUUUCUGCAGACUUUAUGAGAGCGAUAAAGGAUUAGUUUCCUGUAGAAACGAAAGGCUGAAUUUAAUAUCAAGUAAGAGAAAAAUAAUAAACCGUCUACGAUACGCCGAUGUUCUUCUUUGUUAUAUUAUUUUUUUUUGAUCUUCUUUUCCUUUCCUUUCCUUUCCUUUUAACAUCUCAAAAAGUAAAAUAUAUGGUAGGUAUGUAUACACAUCCCGUUCGGAAUUUUAUCGCCGUUGACUCACCAAGCUCGCAACUUCUCGCGUUUCCUAACAACAAUGUAGAAAAGAGGUGGUUCGCAAGAAGUGGGGUAAGUCCUGAAAAAUAUUGAGAGGGCCGCGAGGCAAAUCGAUUUCUGAAAAUACAUAUGCGAAUCUAUUCCAACGUCCCCUUGCGAGGAGCGAACGUCUUUCGAGCGUUGAGAAGGGAAUAGCCUCGAGCAAAAGAAGGAAAAGACGAAGAAGAAGAAAAGGAAAAAGAUGGAAAAGAAGAGAAGGAUAGGAAUUGAAAAAGGCAAUGUACCUAUAUGCAUACGUAUCUGCAUACUUAUGUACAUGUAGGUACGAGUAACGACAAGGGCUCGCAAGGAUGAUUGAUCGGAUCCCCGAUAAGUUUCGUAGGACGAAAAUGAAAUUUUCGGGUAGCGAGUUUUGCGCGGCUGAGUCUACUCAUGUGGAAGGACGUUGCGACUUUUCGUGAAAUCACGAUGGAAGAUGUAAAUCGAAUCGCACAGCAUGAUACUUUUCACUCAUCGUUGUCCUCCUUUCUUUCCUCUUUUGCGUAUCACCAAAGGAAUUUAAAAUAACAAAAGUCUCGCUUACAUAUUCUAGGUACAUAUUGUAGGUACCUAUCCUACAUUUACACGAUCUAUUCAACUCGACAAAACGAAGGUAGAAAUUAAAAAUGAUUUUCUUUUGUAUUGUUAAAAUGUGUAUGUGUGUGUGUGUAUAUUAAAUAUUUUAUUUAAUAUAAAACUGACGUAUGUAUUUGCCGAGAAAUUUAAUAACACUUUUGCGUAUCUACCGUACUAAACACAAAGAACUUUUAAUAAUGCUAACGAAAAAGAGGGGGAUGAAGGAAGGGAGGGAAAGAUUUAAUAUCGUACGACUGACGAUAAUUCGAAGAAAAAGGCGGAACAAAUCCGUGAUCGUCGUAAAGUGCGAACGCCUUUCGUACGAGAAUCGCGCGUUCACGGAAUUCCGCUUGUGAAUAUCGGAGAACCACGUUGACUACGUGAGAGCAAAGAACAGACAGACAGAGAGAGAGAGAGAGAGAGAGAGAGAGAGAGAGAGAGAGAGAGAAAAGGAGAAAAAAGCAAAGAAGGGAAGAAAGAAAACUUCCGAAUGCCCUAGCGACGGAAUUUCCGGGCUGGGAAGCCUGCAAUUCCACCGUGUCGGCAACACGCUUAUUCCUCUUUGUCGAACUAACUGGAAUUGCAACAUUCGCGAUUGGCAGGCGUCCAUCGAGAGAACUAGUCGCUCAACUCAUCGAUAGAUCGGGCGAUCUCGAAACGGUUUCGACGGAUCGACGACGACGAUUACGAGCGAUGCACGCACGCAUCAUCGUCUAUCCAACUGUACGGAGAAGAGAGAAGAGAGAUUUGCCUCGUUCCUCGGCGAAUGCCUCGUUUGCCAAUCGCUAUAUGUGCUAGCUUAUCGAGCACAAGGUGCUGUUCGCACUCGAACGGACGAUCUACGAGAAACGAAGUCGUUGAACGCAAGUAUACGAGUAUUGCUCGCGAACAAGAACGAGAGAGAGAAAGAGAGAAAGAGUUGCUCUUUGAGAGAUUUCUUGAAGAAGACAUAAAAGCGAUAAACUUUCUCUGCGAACCUUUUAGUUUUAUCGAAACCUUUAAAUGUUUCUAUAUGAAAUUUUAUAACGAUAUUUUUCGUGGAAUAUCAUCGAGAAUGGAAUUAAUUUCUGAUGUACUAAGUGAUAAAGAAAUUUUAGGAAAAGGAGUCUAUGUCAUAUCCGUAUCGUUCAAUCAUCUAAUGAUCGAUUGAAAGAGAGAAGCGACAAGCAAAGAGAAGAAAGUCAAGAGGCUAAAAAUCAAUCGAAGAGAAUAGGAGAUAAGAGAAGAGUCUAGGAUCGUCUUUGUGCUUGAUAAUUCGUGCGAACACCCAUCGAUGCUUGCGGCUCGUUUCACACAAGAAAGAGACCCUUACCUGAGGGUUGGUGAUAGUCGAAAUCGGUGCUUACGAAGAGCCACUUAAGCUUCUUCGAUUUCUUUCAAAGUAUCGUCAUUGUCAUCGCGAUGACGCGAGACACGCCAAGAAUCUGCCUCGUAAACUCGUCGCACGAAAGUACCUGUUAAGUUGUUCGUAUCCCUUUAGAGAGCGGAGAUAUAUAUCAUAGAUACUUUAACGUAUAUUCCCUGUUAAAAGUGAAUUCUACUUAUUAUUCUUUUAUCCCGAGAUUUAUGAAAAAUUAUCUUUAAUGCAGAUAUUCGCGCAUAUAAUUUUUGUCGUUAAAAAAUUCCAACGAGACCUGCGCUGACGAAAAAAUUUCGAUAUAAAGUUAGUAUGUAGCUAUUCGUUCUAUGCUGACGUUUAAAUGGAUUCACGUUUUAAACUAAGCCGUCGUAGAAUAAUAAAGAGACAUUUAUCGAGAUAAUGAGAUGACGUAAAAGCUUAUUGAAUAUAUAUAUAUAUAUUGCAAAAAUAAAUAUAUGUAUAUAUAUUCUUGGAUUAUCCUUGAUGAGAGUAUUAUGAAACUAAUUACUAUAAAAUACUUUGGACGAAAUGAUUUUUUAGUAAAUUCUACGUUGCAUUAUCUCUAUCUCUUUUCUCGUUCUCUCUGUUUCUCUUUCCUACAGAAACAAGCAGAAACUUUACUGUCAUCGUGUCGAAUUUCCAUCGCGGUGUUCGCUUUACGCGGGCAAAGAUGUUAUAUACGACGAAUGAAUGAAGUUGCGACUAAGAUGGAGAAGCGAGAGACGGGAAACACAAAGAGGAGAAGGAAAAGCAGAGAUAGAAGAGGACAGAGGGAGAAAGACAGGAAGAAAGGUAGAGAGAGAGAGAGAGAGAGAAAGAGGAAGAGGUUUCAAGUUUUGCCACAAGAAACAUCCCCAAAGUGCUUGGAGUCGACGAAGUGGAAUCGAUUUCUCGAUAGACGUGCGCACUGAUUCACAGGGACGACGGCGAGUACAACGAACAAGGAGGAGGAAAAGGAGGAAGAGUAGGUAGAGGUGGAGGUGGAGAUGGAAGAGAAGGAAGAGGAGGAAGAGAAAGACGACGACAGUGGCGGAGAUGAGAACAUUACCGCGUCUUAAUCAUUGCGGGCUAUAAUGAAAUUCAGUAGAAUUUCACCACUUCAACAAGAUAGAUACUCAUAUUACAGCGAGCCGUCUGCGAUAUCUCGAUGAUCGAAACGAUUGUACUCAUCCUAUUCUCUUUAGAACGUAGAUGAGAGAGAAAAAGACAGAGAGAUAGAUAUAUAAACGCGUAUAUUCGUACCAUACAUACGCAUGCGCGCGCAUACACUCUCAUACGUAUAAGAACACAUAACUCUUUGUAUAUAUGUAUGUAUGUAUGUAUGUGCAUUUAAUAAGAAUCGAUUAAUUCGAUAAUUUUAUCUGGUGUGAGAGACGAAUUGAAACCGUAAUAAAACAAACUACCAUCGGCGAAAGCCUAAUUAGUCGUGCAUUCGUAUAAUUUUAAUUGGAUUUAUAUAUAAUUACGUAUUUUGCUCUCCUCGUCUACCUUUCCUGUUUUUCUUUCUCUCUUCUUCUCCCUCUAUCUAUUUAUCUCUGUUCGUUUUACUUCUCAAAGUACUACCAUCGUCGAGAAUCAGAGAAACCGAAAAAUCGCAUAUCCACGAAAUAUUGCAGGUUCGUUAUGAAUCGUUAAUGAUCGUUCUUGUAACAUGACGCCGGGAUCGGAUUACUUUUAGACUAUACACUCUCUCUCUCUCUCUCUCUCUCUCUCUCUCUCUCUCUCUCGCUCUUUUCCUAUAAACGCUAAAUCGACUUGAAUUUAAUGUCAGUUUCAUUUACCGAAACGUAUUUUUACGAUUCUGUUAAAUUAUUUCCCAUCCAAUUUAUACAUAUAUGUUAUUCAAUAUGAGAGUACGAUUGCGAAAAUAAUUUAUAUUUACUCAACGAAUUUAAAAACUUCGUUUAAAAACACCAUCAAUCCUUAACCCCCCGAAAUAUUUACCCCUUUCUCUCCUUUGUCCUUUCUACCUUCUAUUUUUCUUUUUCUUUUCUUUUUUUUUCUUUGCCAAGCACGCGUGCAUGUAAUUUUCCGUGAGCCGCAUUUUCCCGCAUGCGGAGCACACAAAUCGUGCACGUACCACGAACAGUUCUCGUGGCUGUCGCCAUAAAUCGAGAGGCAAUUUGUCCGAACCGGUCACGCUCUUCCGUCCCCCGUGUCUCGUAAUCGUUCCUAGCCAAGUUUCAUUUAUGCCGGAGAUCCACUUAAAUUUCGCACGAUCGUAACUUCUCACAGUUAGUGCGAGUGCGCAAACGCAUCGAGAUCUUUUUCGAGGGAGAGAAAAGAAAGAAAGAGAGAGAGAGAGAGAGAGAGAGAGAGAUUAUUACACUCCGUGGUGUAACUCGCGAUUCGCUCUUUGCUUUACCCCGUCAAGCACAGAAAUUUUUUAUCGUUCCUAUUUAUUACGACAAAAGAAACGAUAAGGUACAUAGACUCUCAUGGGAUCAAAACGAACGAGCUCGUUACUUUGUUAUAUAAUAUCUGUAAAAAGAGUUAAAAGGGCUAAUUGGAAUAAUUCCUCAUGGUAGAAUCAUCAAGGUUCUUGAAGAUUAUACGGAUUUGUUUUCCUUGAUUUCUUUUUAUUUUAUUUUAUUGUAUUUUUCUUUGAGAGAGAUAUUCGUAUUAUUAAAAGAUAAUAUGAUCUUGAAAAACCAGUUUAAUAGAGACAAAUUCACGUGCCUUUCUAUGUUUACAAUGACGUACGAGUAUUAUUAGCGCUAGCCUCUUUCUUUGUAUCUACGAUUUAUACUUUAUAGUCGGCAUUUGCAUAACUUGCCCGUUGGGUAUCCUUGUUCCCGCUCGCGGAUUUUAAAGCUCUUUCCGGCACUCGUUGGUUUUUGAACGUGAAGAGAUUGUCAUGGGUAUUCAUUCUCUCGAUACCUCUCCCUUUUCUCUCCUUCCCUUUCUCUCUCUCUCUCUCUCUCUCUGUCUCUCUUUCUCUUUAUUCGUUCUCUCUUCCUCUCUCUCUUCUCGCGUUGUCCUUUUUAUUUCCGCCCGUAUAAAUAUUUCUCGUGAUAAAAAGCCUAACGUUAUAUUACGUACUUAUUUAUUCCUUUUCUGUGCAAAUCCACGUUCAUAUUUCGAUUGCUUUGUACUUACAAGUUGAUGCAAGUAAAACGAAAGGAACUUUCCACGUUGGACAAGAGAACAUGCUACAAGAGUUUCCGCGUUUCGUAAAGGUAAGAAAACUACUUUUUAAUUAGACUUUCUUCGUGAUCGUCGUCGGAGUCACACAGAUGGACGGCGCACGCUUCCGUGCACACGCUAAGUGCGACAAAUAUCUUAAUCGCGAGAUUGUCUUAACAAGUAGCAACGUACACGAUAACUAUCUCACGACCGUUCGAGAUUAAAAACUCGCGCGAAGCGUAUACUCGUUAUAUUGAUAAUAAUUACAACGUAGAUUACUGAAAUAGGAAUCCUCGUUUCACUGCUAGUACUUUCUUCGUUUAGUAAUGGAGGAAGAAAGAAAAAGAACAAGUUCGAAAGGGGAACUUCCUGCGAGUCAGGUCGAGUCAAGUAAGUAUCCACUAUCGAUCGUCGUGUUCCAAAAGAUAACGGUUACAAAGCCUUGUAACCCUUUAACUUCAUUUUCAUUACUUUAAAACGAGCUUUGAAAAGAGAUCCUUAUCGUGCAUAAUGACCGGCAGCGGAGUACGCAUUUAAUAAUUAACGAUGCAUCCACGUCGAGAUAGAGUAACGAAGAAACGAAAAUCCACGUCGGCCAGCAAACAAUACCUCUCAUUAUCGAAAUGCUUAAAUUAACUCUAACGAGUUUCGAGUAGCAGCAGCAGCAGCAGCAACAGCAGAAACAGUAUUCGUGAUUUUCAAAAUGAUAAUUUAAUAACCGGUCUCGAAUGGUCCAGCGCUGUCGGAAUGAUGAAAGGUAAAGAAAAUAAAAAAGGAUUCGCGAUCGGCUUUACUCUUAAAAUAAACGGACUACCAACGUAUAUUUUACGUUAAAGGUAAAUAUCGAAACGUUUGUUUCGAAACUAGGUUAGAUGUUUCUGUUAUUUCAGCAAAGAAAAUAUUAUAUUUUUGCAAUGGAAUUCGUUGGAGUUUUACGUAAGGGACUUCCGUUACAAAAUAGGUAAAAAUUUAUAACGGAUGUGAAGAAAAUUCGUAGUCUUUAUCAGGAAAGUAAUCUUGAAUGCGUACAUAUUGUUGAUUCUGAAUCUAUGUUUAUGGAUUGUCAACAGUUUUCACAGAUCGAUCCUCGAUGCUGUUAAUAUCGCGAUCACCGUGAUUUUAAUUUUUAGGAACGAGUAGAUUAGAAAAAUCUGUACAGGAACGAUCGCUGUCCACUGUCGGAAUGCGAAAACAAGCGGAUUGCAAUAAAAUUUUGCUAGAUGUAACCACGCAUGAGAGCAACAUUUUAACACAUGGGAAUAACUAUACACAUACACAUACACACGCAAAUAUAUAUAUAUAUAUAUAUAUAUAUAUAAUACUCGAGUAAAUUCGUAAUAAUAAAAUUCAUGGAAAUAUAAUCUCACGGCUUGGAUCGUUCGUUACGUCGCUACGCUCGAUGCGGAACGAGAAUUUCGAUGCAACCGAGCCGUUGUAAAAUUUUAUUGCGCGUACGAUUGUACGUGAUAGAGACAGAGAGAGAGAGAGAAAAAUAGAGAGGGGAAAAUAGGAGAGAGGGUUCAAAACCGAUGUGUAUACGCGCCUUCAUUGCGACGUCCCCAACGGCCACGUGUUUCCCAAUUUCCAUUAACCGUAACACUCUCCAGUAACGUCGCUUGUCCGAGCCUUUCCGGAUCGUGCCGACGGAGACACUGUUUCCGUCGCUUUCACCCCUUCUCUCGAUCACCCUUCACAUCGACAAUACACUCACGACAUUGCAUUAUAUAUGUAUACUCGACGAACUUCUAAUGAGAGUGAAGAGAGAGAAAGAGAGACAGACAGAGAGAAAGAGAGAGGAUAAGGAGAAAGAUAGAGAAGUGAUGGGGGGAGGGGGGGGGGGGGUAAAGAGAAAGAGAAAGAAUCGAUCGAUCGAUCGGAUCACUCUCGUUAUAUGUACGUCGAUCGAUCUCUUGUAGACGUCAGCCAUGUGCCAGAACGUCGACGAGUUUUUAUCGGAGCGCGAUAAAAGGGACACCCUUACCACUUCAUCUCAUCUUCCUCUUUUUUCCUCCGUUAACCAUCGACUUCGACUUAUAUACAUGCAUACUUGACGAGUACGUAUAUACGAGCUCAACGAGAGACAUAAUACUCACGUGAUAAGGAGUGAAAGAGAUGGAGAAAAAGAAGAGACAGAGAUAAAGAGAGAAAGAGAGAUAGUCCAAUCGAUCUCGGACUGCAAGCCGGCCAAUGCUCACUCUCUCUUUCCAGUGUCCGUGAUAAAUCUCGAAAAAUCUCGCUUCGAGCCCUUUUCACCUCUUGACCGUGGACCGUGAAGGAGUAAUAUCGAAGAAUCGUACGAACGACAAAUUACCUGUACCUUCUUUUCCUUCUCCUCACGCUUCAUUCGUUCUUGAUUCACUAUAUACACUCGAAAGUGAGAAAGAUUGAGCACGGCUCACAUAAUUCUUUUUUUUUCUGUUGAAAGACGUUGUGACUUUAUCUCUUAAAAAGAAAGAUUUUUUGUUCUUCUUGUUUCUUUUUUUUUCUUCUUUCUUUUUUACUUUACUCUUCUUCAGUUUUUCUAGAGAUAGUACACGGUAUUCUAGAUAAUGAGACUCUCUUUUGUCUCUUUCUCUCUCUCUCUUUCUCUUCGUUUUGUCAGCUCCAUUAUUUCAAAUUGCUAUCUCAACGAAUAAAUCGUCUUUUCUCUCUACAUACCAACGAAAUACUCUCGUACGUAGUAAAUCGCUUGAGAGAUAUUCUAAUUAGCGAGAAAUAACCUUUCUCCGAAAAGGUGAAGGGAAACGUAAACGAACGAUAAACUACGAUCGAUGAGACUCGAAACGACGGUGAAGCGGCUUGUUUACGUGCGAUAUGCCAUCGAGGCGUGUAACAGGUACGCGUAAUAUUAAUGAGACGGAUGGACGUUUUGAGUGCGACGAGAACCGUGGCACGUGCUCAAAGUGGAUGACAGCGAAUGCCAUUAGUGCUUGCGGAUAUAACGAUAAACGUUGACUAAAAUCACUCGACUAACGUGACGCAUGUUACUACUUUAUCUCUCUCUCUCUCUCUCUGUCUCUCUAUCUAUCUAUCUAUCUAUUUAUCUAUCUAUCUAUCUCACUCGAAAGAGAAGUAUAGCGUCUGUGGAAGAGCACAUAAACGUUGCCGUUGCAAAUCUACUUUAAUGUUCGACUAGUCACCCUCGAGCGAUCCUCAACCGAUGUAUUUUAUUCCGUCGUGCGACAUCUCUCAGGUUUUCAGUCGUAACGCGUCGCUUUAACUUUCACCGUUCAAGUGCAACCAGAUAGGUUAACUAUAUCUCGGAAGAAAAAGAGAGAGAGAGAGAGAGAGAAAGAAACAUUCGGCAAAGAGCAAAAAGUUUCCUUCGGAGAGAACAUUAAAAGAUUAUCAUCGCGAUGAAUCAUCUCGGUUGUUGUUUCCCAACAAUGAGGUCGCACAAUUUCCACAUCGUCGUCGUCUUCGUUGUCAUCCUCAUCGUCGUCAUCCUCGUCAUCCUCGAUUUUGAUAGAGAACGAGUGUGUAUAAUUUUCGUCCGAUGGUGAGGAAAAAUCGUGACCCUGUAAACGAAAGAAAACAUCGGGAGGGUCGACCUGGAGGAUCAAACGAUCAAGCGACGUUGUACUAAUAUAGAUAUCUACAUAAUAGGAGCGAUCAAAGAAGAUAGGAAGAAAAGAAAGAAGAAGGGAGAAAAGAGAGAGGAUCACGAGUAGGAAGAUUUUUGUUGAGAUGCGAUAUAUCGAUGAUGAUGAUAAUAGAGAUGGUGUGAUAGUAAUGGUACUGGUAACGGUGAUGGUAGUAAUGGUGGUGGUGGUAGUGGUGGUGAUGGCGAGAUAGUGGAGGUAGUACGAAAGUUAAACUUCGUAAAGCAGAAGGAAGAAGACGAAGUCGAGGAGAGACAAGAAGGGCGGGGAUCAAGCUGAAGAAAGGCGAGAGAGCUAUAAAAGAGGCACCGCUCUCGACGAUGGGCAUCAAACACCUCGACAUGAAGGUGUUCGUGAUUACGCUCCUAUUGGCGUGCAUCGCCACCGCCUACGGCGGUUACAUAAGCAGCGGAGGCUGGUCCGGCGGCGGUGGCGGCUGGUCUGGAGGUGGUG